GCGGGUAUAGUAUAUCGGUAUUAUGUUGCCUUCCCAAGGCAAAGAGGGGGGUUCGAUUCCCCCUACCCGCUCCG
rnacentral:tRNA from 1 species